AUACUUACCUGGACGGGAUCAAUGGGUGAUCAAUAAAACCCAUGGCCUAGGUUGGCGACCUCCAUUGCACUUUGGAGGGGUGCCUGCCUAAGGUCGGCCCAAGUGGUUGAGCCUACGUUAUAAUUUGUGGUGGAGGGGGCCUGUGUUCGCGCGGCCCCUGC
rfam:Capsicum annuum cultivar Zunla-1 chromosome 10, whole genome shotgun sequence